CCAGACUCCUACGGGAGGCAGCAGUAGGGAAUAUUGCUCAAUGGGGGAAACCCUGAAGCAGCAACGCCGCGUGGAGGAUGAAGGUUUUAGGAUUGUAAACUCCUUUUGUUAGAGAAGAUUAUGACGGUAUCUAACGAAUAAGCACCGGCUAACUCCGUGCCAGCAGCCGCGGUAAUACGGAGGGUGCAAGCGUUACUCGGAAUCACUGGGCGUAAAGAGUGCGUAGGCGGGGUAAUAAGUCAGAUGUGAAAUCCUGUAGCUUAACUACAGAACUGCAUUUGAAACUGUUACUCUGGAGUGUGGGAGAGGUAGGUGGAAUUCUUGGUGUAGGGGUAAAAUGCGUAGAUAUCAGGAGGAACACCGGUGGCGAAGGCGGCCUGCUGGACUGCAACUGACGUUGAGGCCCGAAAGCGUGGGGAGCAAACAGGAUUAGAUACCCGUGUAAC
rnacentral:rRNA from 1 species